AUUGAACGCUGGCGGUAUGCUUAACACAUGCAAGUCGAACGGUAACAGGCCUUCGGGCGCUGACGAGUGGCGGACGGGUGCGUAACGCGUAGGAAUCUGCCUGGUAGUGGGGGACAACUUGGGGAAACUCAAGCUAAUACCGCAUACGCACUACGGGGGAAAGCGGGGGAUCUUCGGACCUCGCGCUAUCAGAUGAGCCUGCGUUGGAUUAGCUAGUUGGUAGGGUAAAGGCCUACCAAGGCGACGAUCCAUAGCUGGUCUGAGAGGACGAUCAGCCACACUGGGACUGAGACACGGCCCAGACUCCUACGGGAGGCAGCAGUGGGGAAUAUUGGACAAUGGGCGCAAGCCUGAUCCAGCAAUACCGCGUGUGUGAAGAAGGCCUGAGGGUUGUAAAGCACUUUUAAUAGGGAGGAAAACCUAUCGGCUAAUACCCGGUGGCUUGACAUUACCUAUAGAAAAGGCACCGGCUAACUCCGUGCCAGCCGCCGCGGUAAAAC
rnacentral:rRNA from 1 species